AAGAAGUCAGCCUGUAAAGGACCACAGCAAGUGAUUGAUUCCUCCAUGGCUUGCUGUUGGGUAGGUCAAUCGGGAGCCCAGAAGAUCAAAAGGAAAGAGAAGAAUGUAGGUGGUUUGCCUCAGGAUGGUCCUCUUCCUUGACAGAAGGCUCUAAAUUCACAGAUUUCAAGUACAAACUAGAACACCUAACUUUGGGCUGGAGAUCUUCUGAGUGACAAACAGCUUACUCUCAUGCUACCAAGAACAAUGGAAAAUGGCUUAUGAGUGAUUUUCUUGAUGGUAAAUGGAAUGUAAAUACACUGAAUUGGGUGUUUGAGGGCUUCCGGUUGGAGAACUGUUCUUUCCAUGGUAGUUGCUGGAAACCAGG